rnacentral:rRNA from 1 species
GACGAACGCUGGCGGCGUGCCUAAUACAUGCAAGUCGAGCGAGCGGAACCAACAGAUUUACUUCGGUAAUGACGUUGGGAAAGCGAGCGGCGGAUGGGUGAGUAACACGUGGGGAACCUGCCCCUAAGUCUGGGAUACCAUUUGGAAACUGGUGCUAAUACCGGAUAAUAAAGCAGAUCGCAUGAUCAGCUUUUGAAAGGCGGCGUAAGCUGUCGCUAAGGGAUGGCCCCGCGGUGCAUUAGCUAGUUGGUGGGGUAAUGGCCUACCAAGGCGGCGACGGGUAGCCGGCCUGAGAGGGUGGACGGCCACAUUGGGACUGAGACACGGCCCAG